rnacentral:rRNA from 2 species
AAACUUUCAACAACGGAUCUCUUGGUUCUGGCAUCGAUGAAGAACGCAGCGAAAUGCGAUAAGUAAUGUGAAUUGCAGAAUUUAGUGAAUCAUCGAAUCUUUGAACGCACAUUGCGCCCCUUGGUAUUCCGGGGGGCAUGCCUGUUCGAGCGUCAUUA